CUACGGAGGGUCCGAGCGUUAUCCGGAAUCAUUGGGUUUAAAGGGUCCGUAGGCGGGAAUCUAAGUCAGUGGUGAAAUCUUGCAGCUCAACUGUAAAAUUGCCAUUGAUACUGGAUUUCUUGAAUUAGUGUGAAGUGGUUAGAAUGUGUAGUGUAGCGGUGAGAUGCAUAGAUAUUACACAGAAUACCAAUUGCGAAGGCAGAUCACUAACACUAUAUUGACGCUAAGGGACGAAAGCGUGGGGAGCGAACAGGAUUAGAAACCCCGGUAGUCC
rnacentral:rRNA from 1 species